rnacentral:tRNA from 1 species
UAUAUUUUAGUAUAAGAGGUAUAUAAACUUUUGAUGUUUAUGGUAAUAGUUUAAUUCUAUUAAAUAUAA